CAGCGACGAAUGCCAAGUGUCACCUGCACACCAAAAACUCAGGGGGCAACUCCACUGGUGGCAAACAGAGAACUGGACUGUAUGGAAGCAGUUAAUAAUGAACGAGCUCUGAGACGGAGAAAAGUUAAGAUGACUAAGGACCCAUGACUGACUGAUUGUCUUUUCUUCAUUUCAUCUGAGACUCGACCAUCUUCUCAGAUUCCACCAUCAGAUGAUUUGAGAGC